rnacentral:rRNA from 1 species
CGGGGUGCACCAGGCGCGAAAACUCUACAAUGCAGGCAACUGCGAUAGGGGAACAUCGAGUGAUACUCAUCUUGGGUGUCUGUCCUCCCGUCUAAAAAACGGGAGUUAGCAAGGGCCGGGCAAGACCGGUGCCAGCCGCCGCGGUAAUACCGGCGGCUCGAGUGGUGGCCGAUAUUAUUGAGUCUAAAGGGUCCGUAGCCGGCUUUGCAAGUCUUUUGGGAAAUCCAGCGGCUUAACCGUUGGUCGUCCGGGAGAUACUACAUUGCUUGGGACUGGGAGAGGUAGGAGGUACUCAGGGGGUAGGAGUGAAAUCCUGUAAUCCUUUGGGGACCACCGGUGGCGAAGGCGUCCUACCAGAACAGGUCCGACGGUGAGGGACGAAAGCUAGGGGCACGAACCGGAUUAGAUACCCGGGUAGUCCUAGCCGUAAACGAUGCUCGCUAGGUGUCACAACAAUCGUGAAUUGUUGUGGUGCCGUAGGGAAGCCGUGAAGCGAGCCACUUGGGAAGUACGACCGCAAGGUUGAAACUUAAAGGAAUUGGCGGGGGAGCACAAGGGCGAAUUCGCGG